AUGCAAAGCUGUAAUGUUGAGCAUACUAGAAGACCUGGAAGACCUGCAUUUCAUGUACAACCUGAAAUGUUAGAAGAGCUUUUGGGUUUAGGCUUCAGUAAAGAAAAAAUUGCAAAAAUGUAUGGCGUUUCACGAUGGACAAUAUAUAGACGAAUUCAAGAGUACAACCUGCUUCAUUUAAGUGAAUUUAGCAAUUUAUCUGAUGCAGAAAUUGACGAAGUACUAAGAGAUUACACAAGUCGUCAUGGAAGAACAACUGGGGAAGUGUUGAUAAUGGGGUACCUUCGCUCCCGUGG